rnacentral:rRNA from 1 species
UACUAAUCAACUAGCCCUCCCCUAAAAAACAACCACCACUAUUCAUAACCCCUAAUACCCUAAUAUAAGUAGAACAAAUCAUUUUUCCCCCUUAGUAUGGGCGACAGAAAAG